AGAGUUUGAUCCUGGCUCAGAACGAACGCUGGCGGCGUGCCUAAGACAUGCAAGUCGUACGAGAACGCCACCUUCGGGUGGUUAUUAGAGUGGCAAACGGGUGAGUAACGCGUGGGUAACCUGCCUUAAGGUCUGGGAUAACUCCGGGAAACUGGGGCUAAUACCAGAUAAGACCACGAGUUCUUCGGAACAUGUGGGAAAAGAUGGCCUCUUCUUGAAAGCUAUCGCCAUGAGAUGAGCCCGCGUCCCAUUAGCUUGUUGGUGAGGUAACAGCUCACCAAGGCUCCGAUGGGUAGCUGGUCUGAGAGGACGAUCAGCCACACUGGAACUGAGACACGGUCCAGACUCCUACGGGAGGCAGCAGUCGGGAAUUUUGGGCAAUGGGCGCAAGCCUGACCCAGCGACGCCGCGUGAGCGAUGAAGGCCCUCGGGUCGUAAAGCUCUGUCGGAAGGGAAGAUGGGAGCGAAGGCAAAUAGCUUAGCUUUUGACGGUACCUUCAAAGGAAGCGCCGGCUAACUCCGUGCCAGCAGCCGCGGUAAUACGGAGGGCGCAAGCGUUGUUCGGAAUCACUGGGCGUAAAGCGCGUGUAGGCGGUUAGGACAGUCGGAUGUGAAAUCCCAAGGCUCAACCUUGGAACUGCAUUCGAAACUGCCUAGCUAGAGUCUCGGAGAGGGUGGCGGAAUUCCCGGUGUAGGGGUGAAAUCCGUGAUAUCCAGAGGAACACCGGUGGCGAAGGCGGCCACCUGGACGAUUACUGACGCUGAGACGCGAAAGUGUGGGGAGCAAACAGGAUUAGAUACCCUGGUAGUCCACACCGUAAACGAUGAGCGCUAGGUGUCGCGGGUAUUGACCCCUGCUGUUCCGUAGCUAACGCAUUAAGCGCUCCGCCUGGGGAGUACGGCCGCAAGGCUAAAACUCAAAGGAAUUGACGGGGGCCCGCACAAGCGGUGGAGCAUGUGGUUUAAUUCGACGCAACGCGCAGAACCUUACCUGGGCUAGAAAAGGCAGGAAUCUGGGUGAAAACUCGGAGUGUCCUUCGGGAAAUCUGUCGUUAGGUGCGUGCAUGGCUGUCGUCAGCUCGUGUCGUGAGCUGUUGGGUUAAGUCCCGCAACGAGCGCAACCCUUGUUUUUAGUUGCUUUAUGGAACUCUAAAAAGACCGCCGGUUAUAAACCGGAGGAAGGCGGGGAUGACGUCAAGUCAGCAUGCCCCUUACACCCUGGGCUACACACGUGCUACAUUGGGCGAGACAAUGAGAUGCAAACCUGCAAAGGAUAGCGAAUCUAUAAACUCGUUCUAAGUUCGGAUUGUAGGCUGCAACUCGCCUACAUGAAGGUGGAAUCGCUAGUAAUCGCUGGUCAACUAUACAGCGGUGAAUUCGUUCCCGGGCCUUGUACACACCGCCCGUCACACCAUGGAAGCUGGUUAUGCCCGAAGUCAUUACUCUAACCAUUUGGGGGAGGGUGUUAGUGACUGGGGUGAAGUCGUAACAAGGUAACC
rnacentral:rRNA from 1 species